rnacentral:rRNA from 1 species
GAUCCUGGCUCAGGAUGAACGCUGGCGGCGUGCUUAACACAUGCAAGUCGAACGAAGCACUUUAACCUGAUUCUUCGGAUGAAGGUUUUUGUGACUGAGUGGCGGACGGGUGAGUAACGCGUGGGUAACCUGCCUCAUACAGGGGGGAUAACAGUUAGAAAUGACUGCUAAUACCGCAUAAGACCACGGAGCCGCAUAGCUCAGUGGGAAAAACUCCGGUGGUAUGAGAUGGACCCGCGU